rnacentral:lncRNA from 1 species
UCAUUUUUGACUUUCAGUAUACACAACCCAGAAAAAGUCUUCCAUUCUUUCUCCUUUAUCCACUCACCUUUGAUCAUCGUACGUACAAGAGUUCACCAACUGAGCAGAACCCAAUCAUCACUAUAUCUCCGACGUUUCCACCGGCGGCGGCACCGGAAAGUAAACGGUACAGUCUCCAAUAUCGGAUGAAUUUUGGUGCCGAAUUUUUUAAAUUGUUUUGAAGUUUGUCACUGAUUUUGCGAACCAGAGACACGAGGAAGGUGUUUGAUGUUACAGUUAAGUUCACUGUUGUUGUUGCCAAAUUCUUUGAUUUUAAUUCAAACCUAAUUCUUGUUUCCUUUUCGGUUACAGUCCUAAUUCCCCGUAUUUGCUUAAAAGAGACAGAGAGAGAGAGAGGGGACGGAGUGAUUCUCCAUUACUUAUUAGUUUGUUCAACGGCUCUGAAUUUCUGCAGAGCAUAAUCGCAAAUCGGAGCUAUUUCUCUAUCUCCGAUGUGCAGCGGAAUCGAUAUGGACGCCCAUAAUAAGAACGACGGCGGCGGGUGGUGCUCCCCCUGCCCCGACCUCCCGCCGCUUUUUGUUAUUUUCAUCUCCCUCCAGACCUUUGCUUGAAUUCUCAGCCUCCGACGACCUCCACAGCUUCAAGAGAUUCGUCGAAGACGAAGGCUUCCACGACGUUAACGAGCCAGGAUUGUGGUACGGCAGAAGGAUCGGGUCGAACAAAAUGGGCUUGGAGGUCCGAACUCCGCUAUUGAUCGCUGCCUUGUACGGAAGCAAAUCCGUCUUGAGCUAUAUCCUCGAAACCCUCCCAUCUGAUGAUGACGUCAUCAACAAGCCGUGUGGUUCCGACGGCGCCACCGCGCUCCACUGUGCCGUCGCAGCGGGAAACGCCGAUGUCGUCAAGCUAUUGCUCCGCGCCUCCGCCGAUCCUAAGUCGGUGGACGCAGCUGGAAACCGUCCUGGAGAUUUGAUCAUCCGGAGAAGAAAUUCGCUGGAACGACUCUUAUUGGAAGGCGGAGAAGGACAAAUCGGUUCGUCGUUGCCGGAUGAAAUUAAUGUGUUGUCGACGGCGACGCCGAAGAAAGAGUACCCGAUCGAUCUGACGCUGCCGGACAUCAAGAACGGGAUCUACGGUACGGAUGAGUUCAGGAUGUACAGUUUCAAGGUGAAGCCAUGCUCAAGGGCGUAUUCACACGAUUGGACGGAGUGUCCGUUCGUUCACCCAGGAGAAAACGCGCGGCGGAGGGAUCCGAGGAAGUAUCUCUACACCUGCGUCCCUUGCCCGGAGUUUCGCAAAGGUUCCUCCUGCCGGCAAGGAGACUCCUGUGAGUACGCUCACGGGAUCUUCGAGUGCUGGCUUCAUCCAGCUCAGUACAGAACUCGAUUGUGCAAAGACGAGACGAAUUGCAAUCGACGUGUUUGUUUUUUUGCCCACAAGACGGAGGAGCUUCGUCCGUUGUAUGCAUCCACCGGCUCUGCGGGGCCUAAUUCUCUGCAUCCACCGGCUCUGCGGUGCCUAAUUCUCCGAGAGGACCGUCGAGUACGACGUUGUUUUCAGGGAAUGGAUUUGAUAUUGGUUCGUUAAGUACUACCCCGUUGACCUCCCCUGGUGGUGGCUCGCCGGGAUGGCCGACGAGUGUGAUUACUCCUCCUCCGCCGCAGCUGCAGCUUCCUGGUAGUAGGUUGAAGUCCAGUCUCAGCGCUAGAGAUAUGG